AUUGAACGCUGGCGGCAGGCCUAACACAUGCAAGUCGAACGAGUGGCGGACGGGUGAGUAAUGUCUGGGAAACUGCCUGAUGGAGGGGGAUAACUACUGGAAACGGUAGCUAAUACCGCAUACCAUCGGAUGUGCACAGAUGGGAUUAGCUAGUAGGUGGGGUAAAGGCUCACAUAGGCGACGAUCCCUAGCUGGUCUGAGAGGAUGACCAGCCACACUGGAACUGAGACACGGUCCAGACUCCUACGGGAGGCAGCAUGGGGGAAGAUUGCACAAUUGGCGCAAGCCUGAUGCAGCCAUGCCGCGUGUAUGAAGAAGGCCUUCGGGUUGUAAAGUACUUUCAGCGGGGAGGCGUUACCCGCAGAAGAAGCACCGGCUAACUCCGUGCCAGCAGCCGCGGUAAUUC
rnacentral:rRNA from 1 species